rnacentral:rRNA from 1 species
UACGUAGGUGGCAAGCGUUGUCCGGAUUUAUUGGGUUUAAAGAGCUCGUAGGCGGCUUGGCAAGUCGGAUGUGAAAACUCCAGGCUCAACCUGGAGCCGCCAUUCGAUACUGCUAUGGCUAGAGUCCGGUAGGGGAGUGUGGAAUUCCCGGUGUAGCGGUGAAAUGCGCAGAUAUCGGGAGGAACACCGAUGGCGAAGGCAGCACUCUGGGCCGGUACUGACGCUGAGGAGCGAAAGCGUGGGGAGCGAACAGG